rnacentral:rRNA from 1 species
CAGCCGCCACGGUAAUACGAGGGGGGCAAGCGUUGUUCGGAAUUAUUGGGCGUAAAGGGUGCGUAGGCGGUUUGAUAAGUCUGAUGUGAAAUCUCUGGGCUCAACCCAGAGUCUGCAUCGGAAACUGUCGGGCUUGAGUAUGGGAGAGGUGAGUGGAAUUUCCGGUGUAGCGGUGAAAUGCGUAGAUAUCGGAAGGAACACCUGUGGCGAAAGCGGCUCACUGGACCAUUACUGACGCUGAUGCACGAAAGCUAGGGGAGCAAACAGGAUUAGAUACCCCAGUAGUCCCUGUCUCUUAUAC